GAAGUAGCUGGUAAGGAAAGAAGAGACUCAGUGAGCUGGCAACCCUCUCAUUAUCACUAAUAAAGUAUUUACCUGCUUUUUUGCCUUUAUAAAUUACAGUUCUGGCCUCAUUGCAAUCGUUUGCUCAUAAAAUGUCUUGUGGAACAGCCUGACCAAUCAAUUUUUUAAAUGGAUGUUCCUGCUGUAAGGCCAGGUCCCAUAAUUACAUUUAAAGUGGUUUAAUUCAGAGCUGGGGCAAGACCCAGUGAAGAAUCCUGAUUUUAUCAGAAUUUAAAAGCCUGAAGACUUGUAAAGAACGGUGUCUCCAUUAUCUGCCCUCGUUUGAGAAAAACAGAUUGCAAGAUUAACUGCUGCAUAAAUAAAUUAAAUUUGGGUAGACAAUAACACAAAUGUUGUUCAUCAUUAAGGUUUCUGGAUUAAUAAUGGCCAGAGAAACAGGCUGUGUUGCUGCUGCAACAUGCUGUUCGCACGGUCGCAUCGAUGCUGAAUUGAAUCUCUUGUAGGAGAGCUGUAUUUUUUGGUGUUCAGAUUUGCUAACUUUUCACUGAAAGUUGAAAUGCUUUCUUAUAUGGAGAAUAAUAAGAUUAUCCUUUAUUUAAUUGGAAAAUUCGAUGCAUUUUUGGAAUAACCAAGAACUCUUAUUGGUAUUUUAACUCUUACUUUAAGUGUCUUGGAACAGGGAACUUAACUGCUUCAAGGUCAAAGCCAUGUCGCUCAGCUGGGCUUUGCUCUCCUCUGGAUGUGAGCUAGCUGUCCUUAUUACUGUUUAUAGAUGUUGUGUGUGUGCACAGGGGAAGGAAAAACCUGGUGUCCCCAUGUGGAUGGGCACCUUCUGUUUUCCAAGAUAAAAAGUUCUUAGGGAUGGAGGUAAAGUGUCCCAGAGGCCACGGGGGCACUAGAGGACAGACACAACGCCGAGAGUCUGUGUUAGGGACAACCUGGCACUCGGCGGUAUAAGGCCUUGCCCUGCACCCACUUGCUGGACCAGAAGACGGCAUCAGUUCCUGAUGACUCGCCCGCGUAGCUGUUCAGGUGAUAUGUUCAUCCAGCUGUUAACAUACCGUCUUUCCUCAGCAGCUGAAAUCCCUCAUGUUUGUUUCUGUGGCACCAUCAGAGCUCCCACCCCCUUGGUUUUGGGGGUCUACGGCCGCCUCUGUCUGGUGGCGGAACCGCCACUGCUUUCCUCACUUCCAGUGCCACCUGUUCCAACAACCCAGGUGCCCCCGGGCCAUGCUUCCUGCCCAGCGCCUUUACUACUCUGCCCUCUGUGCUGCCCGCUGGCGACCCGUCAUCGUCUGCUUCAGAGAGGGAGUUCUGUGAAGUCCCACUUCCCUUGGGAGCCCACUGUGGCCUGUCACGAGCUCUGGCCCUCCAUCUAAACACCCGGGUUCCCACAGCCUUGUCAUACAGAAGAGUGUCACUGCCCUAAAAAGCCGUCUAUGCUCUGCCUACUCACCCUCUCUCCUUCCCUCCCUCUGAACCCCUGGCAAAUUAAUUUUGGAGGAACUUGAAUUGUUUUAGAGAAAAUGGGGGCUAUGUAACAAUUUUUGUAAAACGUUUUAAAAAAUCCUAGUGUCCAGGUUUUAUUUCAGAAAUAGAGUGGUGUUCUCCCAACCACACACCACCACACAUCACACUUGCCAGCAACUCUAAAGGGAAUGGAUUUGUGACUUGAGGCUGUGCGCUCCGGGUGCCCAUGGUGGCUGGCCCAAGCUCCUGGCAGAGACCUGCAUGGUGAGGGCAGGGCUCAGGCCCAGCUGCUUUCCCAUAUCCAAGGACAACUUUAGCACCAGCUACAGGCUCCCAGGGGAAGACUACUAGGAGCGAUAAAGUACCCCACACAGCCUGCCGUCUAGAAAUCUUCGGGAGAGAGGGCCAGGUAUGCACAUGGCCCCGACGUGCUUUUUAAGGGGCUGUGUGCAUUUGGGUGUCAAUGCCACAAAAAUCAUUUUUGCACAGCUGUGAGAAAAAAGUUACACCUUUUGAAGACUGAAAUAGAAGACCUUACUGUCUCUGUUCAUGCUGCCAAUGGCCAGCCUGGUUUAUUUGGGAGGACUUAAAUUCCCCAUCACUUCUGCAAAUAAUACCCUUUUCCAAGAAGCCCUGGGAGAUUUUGACUUGCAGAACUGAAUUAACCAUUUCUGGUCGAUAUAGUCCGAUCGUUAAGCAAUUGACUAAAUGUCUCCAGAGGUCAUCCUCGCCCGCUCAUCCAGGCAGUUCCAUCGACAGACUCAUAAACGGAGUGGGGAUGUGAAGGCCAGCUUAGCCAUCGGACACGCUGAAGGCCGAGGAAAGCCGAUCAACAUGACACACUGGGAGAAGUUGUAGGAAAAAGUCCAGCACAUCUACGGGGAAAGAGAAGUGGUAAAGGUGUCCUUUAAAGGCCGGGAUCUCAACUCCAAGGCCAAGGCCUUCCUGGCCAGCAGGAAAGGAGUGCUGUGACUGCAGGUGUGCCUUUUCCAGCACUGGCAUGGCGUGGCAGGGCGCGCUGAACUACGCACCAGGUGGCAAAGAGGAGGCGGGUGGCAGGGAAGAAACACAUCACUUUUUCCAAGAUUUUUUUUUUUUUAAUAAAAAGCAUUCUAAUUUUC